CCUGCGAUCUGCUCUCUACUGGCUCUUUACUAACCUGCCAACCUGCUAACCCUGCUAACCUGCUAACCCUGCUACAUGGAGCUCCAGCAGCUCGUCAGCUGGUUCCCUCAACGAGCUGCUAAUCAAUCAGCUGUUCACUGUUUAGUGUUAGCAACAUUAGCUACGAAGCUAACACUCUGUGUGGAGCAGAGCGGCUAGCAGGAACAAGACGUCUACUAGCCUAUGAUCAUUAACAGUAAACCAUGGAUCUGUUCAUUGUGCUCGAUCAUAACGUCACAUUAACAUCCAGGUGAACACGGCACGACUGUAAGCUGACGGCUGUCUGCUGUGCAACCACAGCUACAGCCUCCAUCAGCUAACAGCUAACGUUUAAAGCCUCCACCAGCUAACAGCUAACGUUUAAAGCCUCCAUCAGCUAACAGCUAACGUUUAAAGCAUCCAUCAGCUAACGUUUAAAGCCUCCACCAGCUAUCAGCUAACGUUUAAAGCCUCCAUCAGCUAUCAGCUAACGUUUAAAGCCUCCAUCAGCUAUCAGCUAAAGUUUAAAGCCUCCAUCAGCUAUCAGCUAACGUUUAAAGCCUCCAUCAGCUAACGUUAGCUAAUGUUUGAGUGGACUCUACUGACCUGGAGGCAGCAGUAGACCGGGGACAGGCUUUACUGAGGUGGUACCUGACCUACUGAUGCUGAACAGCCACCUCUAAACACAGCAGGUCGCUCCACUCUCCUCCUCUGUUCCUAACAAGAGUUUCACCUGAAAGCCAGCAGCUAGCUAACGUUAGCCUGUUGGCUUCUUAAACAGGAGUAUUUCCCUGACAGGUUUCUAGAGGUUUAUACGGUUUAAUUUCACACGUCUUCCUGACAGUAACCAUGCUGUUAAAUGUGUGAGGAUGUGUUUGUAAUGAAACUGGCUCCUUGAGACUACAUUAGACCAGCUGAGGUGUCUCUGACAUGAAACUGCUUAAUAACUCCCGCUGCUUGUUGAGUACCUGAAAGGACAUGUCCAUAUAUUAUCACUGAGUUUCAUCUACAGAGUGCCAACAAGGGCUGUGACCUAUUGAUUGGCUGUGUUUCCUCCCACUGAAGUGGCCAUAUUGGAGGUCCACAGCUCUUGGCAACAGUGUUGGACAACAGCUGAUCACAUUUCCCAGCUUCAGACUUCGUCAUCUGAACAACAAUGGAGAGGAGACAUUAUUAAUUCAUGAAGUGUUUUUACUGGCUGUGGACUGAUCAUCUAAUCGACCCCGGUGUCACUCUUGGCACUCACUCACAAUAUGAUUUCAUUAUGGUACAAAGUGAGAUUAUUGAUAUCAUUCAGUAUGGCUGAAUUUAGAAAUGAACAAACAUACAGGCAAUGGUUUUUACCAAGAAUUAUGUGCAUUACUGCUGUUGGAUAAGAAAUAGAGAAGAUAUUUCAUUCUUCUUAAACUGACUGAUGUAAACUGACUCUGUUCUGUCUGGAAGGACAUGAGAUCAGGGCUGCUACUAUUAUAAUUAGUAUCGGUGAAUCAGUCCAUUAUUUCUUCUAUUAAUUGUUGGUGGGAAAAUGCUGGUUACAUCUACAUAUUGUUUGAUUUUAACAGCCCCAAACCCAAAAAUAUUCAGUUUACAAUGAAAUAAAAGCAGAAAAUCCUUACAUUUGAGAAACUGAAACCAGCGAAUGAGUUAAUUAAACCAUUUUUGAGGACCA